rnacentral:rRNA from 1 species
UAGGGAAUCUUCGGCAAUGGACGAAAGUCUGCCCGAGCAACGCCGCGUGAGGGAAGAAGGUUUUCGGAUCGUAAAACUCUGUUGUUAGAGAAGAACAAGGACGUUAGUAACUGAACGUCCCCUGACGGUAUCUAACCAGAAAGCCACGGCUAACUACGUGCCAGCAGCCGCGGUAAUACGUAGGUGGCAAGCGUUGUCCGGAUUUAUUGGGCGUAAAGCGAGCGCAGGCGGUUUCUUAAGUCUGAUGUGAAAGCCCCCGGCUCAACCGGGGAGGGUCAUUGGAAACUGGGAGACUUGAGUGCAGAAGAGGAGAGUGGAAUUCCAUGUGUAGCGGUGAAAUGCGUAGAUAUAUGGAGGAACACCAGUGGCGAAGGCGGCUCUCUGGUCUGUAACUGACGCUGAGGCUCGAAAGCGUGGGGAGCAAACAGG